GAAUCCCCUGUGCUUGUCCUCCAAGCCUGUGGACCUCAGAAGCUGAGCAAGACCUGACUGCUAAACGUGCAGAAGGAGGACCCCUGAGGAUCCUAAAAUAGGAUGAAGAUUCUAAUUUUCUUGCCUGUCACCUUCUUUGCUUGCCUGUUGUCUGCUGACGCACACAAGCCAAGAUACCGCAAACCUCAUCAUAGUUUUAAAGUUCUUAAACAAAGAAGUCCUGGACAGCUAAGAGAUGUUCUACACCAGCAAAGCAGCAGACAGCCAACAAAAUUUCAGGGGCCUCUUAUACUUCCUCGUGGUCCCCGGGGUCAUCUUGUUCCGCACGGUUUCCAUGGUUCUAAUAUCCCCAGACCCCUACAGCCUCUGCCACCUCCUCGCCCGCUCCGCCCCCGCCGCCCUCUGCUCCCGCAGUCUCUGCCAUCCGGAUUCCUGCCGUACCCCAGCGCUGCAGUUCACGCUGGUGCCCAAGCACAGCCGGCCCCUUCUGCGCCCACUCCCACAGCUGCCACCGUGGCCACUGCCACUGCUGCUGGCAGCAAAUCCACAGGUGUGAUGCCCAGCGCUGCGCCUUCCAGCACCCUCCAACCUGAGCCCACAGCCAGUGCUACAGGGGCGGCCACUACCCCAGCCACAGAGACCAGCACUCCAGUCACAGAGGUCACCACCCCAGUCACAGGGGCAGCCACCACCCUGGCCACGGGGGCUAAAACCUUGACGGGCACAGGGGCCGCCACCCCGGCCACAGGGGCUGCCACCCCAGUCACAGAGGCAGCCACCCCAACCACAGGGGCCGCCACUGCAGUCACAGGAGCAGACAUCACCCCAGCCACAGGGGUCGCCAUGACAGUCACAGGAGCAGCCACCACCCCAGCCACAGGGGCCGCCACUGCAGUCACAGGAGCAGCCACCACCCCAGCCACAGGGGUCGCCAUGACAGUCACAGGAGCAGCCACCACCCCAGCCUCAGGGGCCGCCAUGACAGUCACAGGAGCAGCCACAGGGGCCGCCAUGACAGUCACAGGAGCCACCACCCCAGCCACAGGGGUCGCCAUGACAGUCACAGGAGCAACCACCACCCCAGCCUCAGGGGCCGCCAUGACAGUCACAGGAGCAGCCACCACCCCAGCCUCAGGGGCCGCCAUGACAGUCACAGGAGCAGCCAUCACCCCAGCCUCAGGGGCCGCCACUCCAGCUGCACAGCUGGAAGAGCGGUAGUAAAUUCUACAACUGAGAUUAAAGUACACCAAACCAGGAACUGGUGAUUUAGCUCAACGGCAUAGCACCUGCUUAGCAAGAGAAAGGUCAUGAGUUUGAUUCCCAGUACCAGAAAAAAACUAAAAAAAAUUUUAAAAAUAAAAAUAAAGUAUACCAAACCACAAAAAUAAAUUAAUUAAUAAAGGUUUAAAAAUGCUUUCCAGAAUACUUUCCAGCUAGAUAAGUAAAUCUGAGAUGUAUCUAAUAAGACAAGCAAUUUUUUUGGCACUGUCAAAAAGAAAGAUGUACAAAUAGCUUGUAAAUCUGCCAUACAGAUUAGAAAUGCAUAGUCCCCCUUUAUUUGAAGAACUAAAUUUCAUCUCUUUAAGUAGUUAGGUUAUAAAUCUAAUGCUGAGAAAUUCUUACCAAAAAAACCAGACGGGGACCAAGGAUAUAGUUCAGUGGCACAGCGCCUGCCUAGCAAGCAUGAGGUGCUGAAUUCAAUUCCUGCUACCUAAAAAAAAAAAAAAGACAAUUAAAAUGUUCACCAGAUGUGUAUAAUAUGUAUGUGUUUUAAUCUUUAGUUCCCAAUCUUAAAAUGUUUUUCUGAAAAGCUUCCUUUAAUUAGAGUUUUCAUAUAUUAAACUGAAUUUUGACUUCAAAGUUCUUAAAUUCUACAGUGUACAUUUUUCACAAGAGAAAUGUUCCUCUCAUUUUUUCAGUAUCUACCAACUUUAAUAAAACAAACAAAUGGAUGAAAAAUUUCAGGAAAUAUUAUCUUUAUCCUGGGAAACAGAAAAAUAGGCACAAUCACAAUCCAUACAAGAAUUCUCUUUCUAUAACACACACACACACACACACACACACAUACAUGCA
rnacentral:lncRNA from 1 species